rnacentral:rRNA from 1 species
AAUCAACGCUGGCGGCGUGCCUAACACAUGCAGGUCGAGCGCGAAAGGGGAGCAAUCCCCAAGUAGAGCGGCGAACGGGUGAGUAACGCGUGGGUAAUCUGCCUCCGAGUGGGGAACAACACCGGGAAACUGGUGCUAAUACCGCAUGACAUCGUUGGACCUUCGGAUCUGACGAUCAAAGCCGGGGACCGCAAGGCCUGGCGCUUGGAGAGGAGCCCGCGUCCGAUUAGCAGUUGGUGGGGUAAUGGCCCACCAAGGCUACGAUCGGUAGCCGGCCUGAGAGGGCGGACGGCCACACUGGGGACUGAGACACGGCCCAGACUCCUACGGGAGGCAGCAGUGGGGAAUUUUCGCAAUGGGCGAAAGCCUGACGAAGCAACGCCGCGUGGAGGAUGAAGGCC